CAUCUUACAAGGCAGUUUUGGA
rnacentral:miRNA from 2 species